rnacentral:tRNA from 1 species
GGGGAUUUAGCUCAGUGGUAGAGCACUUGCCUAGCAAGAGCAAGGCGUGGGUUCGGUCCCCA